AGAUGUUAGGGCGAUCUGACUGAGACAUUUGUCACCCGAUUGACCGCCAGGGUUGAUUCCGGUGAUCUGGCUGGCUAGGCCAGUGUCCCCUUCCUCCCUCAAUGAUCCAUGUGCGUCCCUCCCAGAGCUGCGUGCUUGGUUGAAGAGGACGACCCCCCGGAUAGAGGAGGACUAUUCCUGGGUCAAGGGUAUGCUAGAACCUCUUAACAAGUUCUCAUGAAUCUAGUUCACUGUAAAUGCUGUCACGUCUAGGUGUCAUGCUAAUGUGAUGAUAAUAAAAUUCU
ensembl:misc_RNA 7SK 7SK RNA